GAAAUCGAGGUCGUCAUCUUUUGCUUGGUCUACGAA
rnacentral:sRNA from 1 species